rnacentral:lncRNA from 1 species
UACAUACAUACACACACACACAUACACAAAUACCUCUUUGCUUAUAUACAAAUAUUUACCUUUGAAGAAAUCAAUACUUAAAACACCAACCAGUUGCAUGUAUACACAUCUGGCCGGUGUACUUUUAAGUAUGCAGUAUUUCCUCCCUGCCGGUUGAUAGCUUUUAUAACUACCAGCUUUUGCUCCCAUCAAUAUGGUGCAACAUAAAAUUUAUGGUUAUACAUCAGCGCUAGGUUUAGCUAGACCUGGUGAAGCCCUAAUGUACAUGAAUGCUCGGAAGUCUCCAUGGACAAGACACUUUGUUUCCAAUGGCCGAGUUCACCUAGCUGGUGUAGUUUUGUGCAGUGUAGCAUGGUUGGUUUAGUAGUUUGUUGCUGGGAGUGAAGGUGAAUGGCUAAGUGGUUCGGUGUGUUCAGUUCACAACUGUAAGGUCAGUUCAAUUCCUGGUUAAUUUGAUUCCUGAUGGUGCAUUGUAUAUUUUAGUAAGACACCUUAUUUCACAUUGCUCCAGUUCACUCAGCUGCCAAAAACGAGCAGUACCUGUAUUUCAAAGGCCCAGCCCUGUCGCAUUCUGUGUCACGCUGAAUCUCCCUGAGAACUACAUUAAGGGUAUCUGUGUCUGUGGAGUGCUCAGACUCUUGCACGUUAAUUUAACAAGCUGGCUGUUCCAUUGAUUGGAUCAACUGGGACCUGCAUCACAUUGUAACUGAUGGAGUGCAAGUUUGCUGCUGAACUAAGCAGUGACAGAACAACUGUGACAUUAGGUGUUCUGUUGGCUUGCAGUGUUGAGUAGAAAAGAACAAGUCCUUCCUCUCUUGUGGAGAUGGAGAAACGAAGUGACUUCUGUCUACUCUUCUCUCGGAUCAACACCCUGAGUAAGAAAUGUUAGAGUGAACCAGACACAUGGUUUAGCACCGCCAACUGAAAUCCUGGAUGCCUUUAGCAGGAUUCCACUCUGCUGCAAGCAUUCAGGCCAAACCAUCAAUCCAAGGAUAGAUAACUCAUUCUCACCCAGCAAUGACAGAGGCUUUGGAAACGGUUAUAGGGGGGUAUAGUAGUUCCUCCUCGGACUAAGUCAUAAAAAGAAAAUUUAUGAAAACUGUCGUAGAGAUGAGGGUCAACUGCCUCUCCUAGAAAUCCACUAUGGUUACAGAACUAAUUCCUUCACUACAAAUACUGUGGUUAAUAUGAAUGAAUCAUGAGGAGAUGGUUUAUUUCACUUCACUUAAAUAAUUCCCUUUAGAAAGGGAUGAAUAUCACACAAUCACAUUUUCAUCCUGUCAUGUCCAACCUCACCCUGUCCACUCAUAUUCAUGUAUCUUUUAUACACACCUUGGUUUGUGUAAAAUACUAAAAUAACUUUAAUGAUGUAGACAGCACAUCUGUAUCAUUAACGACUAUUUUGUUUCCCCUUUUCAUGGCCAUAUUUCUGACGAAAUGCACUGUCUAUAUUUCAAUUAAUUUUGGAAAAAAAAAAGCAUAAUUUUGAAACAAGAAUAUGGAGGGAUUUAGUAGAAUAGUAGAAUUACUAACUUUUUCUUUUCAUCAAUGAGCUGGUAUCUUGAACAUAACUUAAUGAAAAUCUAUUGUGUAUUCAUAUAUUAAGACAGUGUUUGGAACAUAGCAAAAGGCAAAUAUAUCUUGGUAUAUAUUAAGAUGGUGUUUGAAAUGUAACAAAAGACAUAUAAUAUAUAUUGGUAUACUAAGAUGGUUUUUGGAACAUAACAAAAGACAAUUGUAUAUUGGUAUAUUGAGAUGAUAUUUGGAAUGUAACUUAAUAAAAGACAAAUAUAUAUAUAUAUAUUGGUAUAUUUAUACAGUGUUUGGAACACAACAAAAUGCAAAUGUAUAUUGGUAUAUUAAAUUGGUGUUUGGAAUAUAACGAAAAGAUACAUGUAUAUUGGUAUAUCAAGAUGGUAUUUGGAAUAUAACAAAAGGAUUUAUGUGAAAUUAUGAUAGAGGGUUUUAAUUAAAAUAUGUAAUUUCAAAGUUUCGAAAUGAUCAGUUUUGUAUUAGCAGAGUAGUAUUAGCCUUUGACUGAUUGGUAUCAAGAGGACCAAAUACAUUUUUAAUGCUUAGAGAGGACAAAGGAACUCAUGGUGUCACUCUAAUGUUACCCAAUAUUAACAAGGCUCCAUUAGAGGGAAUCUCUCUCUCUCUCUGGAUUUCUCUGAAAUAUUAGUAGAAAAGGUAGGAAAUAAUACAAAGAAAUAUGUUUUUACAAACUCCUCUGUAAAUUAGGAUGUGAAUUGAUUUUUGUGUUGAAGUGACUUGCAUGGGGACAGAUUAGUGACACAGAAAGCAUAUGACACUACAUACUGGUUACCCAUCUUAUGUGUAAUGUCUUUAUAUUCAUUACACAAAAACUGGAAAUAAAAACCUAUUUUCCCCUUCAUGGGGACUAACUGCCAUUUGAAGAAGCCUCAGUAGCAUGGGAAAUUUAAAGCUGAUAUUGGCAGAAAUCCAAAGAUACAGUCUUCAGUAACAUAAAAGUAUUGCUAACAAUAACAAUGACAAGAAUACAAGGUUCAAUGGUUCAAAUACUGCUUAGAUUUGCUUUUGUGCUGCUGGGGAUUGAAGGAAACACUUCGAGAGAAGAGUGUUGUUCAGAAAGAGUAUUUGGUUGGUGGAUGGCUAUAAGCCUUGAGUCAAAUCCCUGUUAGAAUAGUCUUGGGGAAAAAGCCAAAAAAAAAAAAGACUAGCAGCAUACCCUCGUAUGGGAUGAGAGAGAGAGAGAAAGUUGAUAUUAUUUGAUCAGCUUACUGCCUAGAUGGACACAGGUCAAGCUCUAAAGAAUGCUACUGCGAUCAACUUCAUCGCAUUUUAAUCAUAUAACUUUGCUCUAUGGAAACAUAUGGUUUAAGCCAUCAUACCUCAUUAAAGCCUUGUCUAAAUCAUAGAUCUUUUACCAGUUUAACCUGGGUGUUACAUGAUUAAGGGUAGUCCCAAUCUUACUUUAGACACCAUCUAGGUCAGUAUCACUUAGUAAUUUAAUAUUUUGACUUAGCACUAUGAAAAAAAAAACAAAUGAAGCAUCUACUAAUCUACUACUACCCUUAGAUGGCCCUAUCAAUAUCAUGAUUAUCCCUAUACAAUUUAAACCUCAGACUUUGAACUGAAAAACAUAUCAGGAAAAUUGCCUAUUCCCACCCCACUCAUAAGUGACCCUUCUUAGAUCACUGUCCCUUGUAUCAAUCUAACCCAUAACUUAGUAUUAUGAAAGAUGUAUGAAGUGGACACUUCCUCCACUCUCUCCUUUGUGAAGAGCCCUGUUUAUUCAGUUCCCUUACAAAUUCAAGUUAUCUUCACUUAAUGCUAUGAAAACUUAACAUGUAGCCUGUUAUCAUCACCACCACCACCAUCACCACAUCUGAAGGACACUGCUUCAAUGGCCAACCCGAAACAAUUAAACCCUAUAAAUUAGCACUGUGAAAACACAUGAAAUAGCCCACGACACUGCCUACAUCACCACCAAUGAGGGUCCACGCUGAGAUGAUAAAAUAAAAUAACAACAAAAGCACAUACAAUUCUAGAAAGGGAUUUGGUGGAUGAUGGUGAUGUAUUAAGUUGCUUUUGAUGAGGUUUAAAACUAUAUACAAACGCAUAUAUAUAUAUAUAUAUGUAUAUCUAUAAAUAUGCAUAUAUAUGGAUGUGUAUAUGUAAUACAUAUAUAAGAGACUUUACAUAUACAUUUGUAUGUAUGUAUAUAUGUGUGUUUGUGUAUCACUAUCAUAGCUAGAGGGGGUGGUCCACCCUGGGUGGCACUACUUUUGGGUCUGCUGUAGGUAAUAUGUAUUUUUUGUGUGGGCUCAAGAGCGGCAAAAUGAAGGGCCACCCCAGGCAGUACACACUCUAGCUACAUUAGUGGUGUCUGUGUGUGUAUGUGCAUGUGUAUAUGUGUGUGUAUGAGUGAGUGUGUGAAGGUGCAUGGCCUAAUGGUUAGAGUGUUAUACUCACAAUUACUAAGACCGUGGGUUCAAUUUCUAGGCCAGGCAGCGGCGGCAACAACUUUGUUUUCUUGAGAGAAAAAAAACUCCACUUCAUUUCAUGUUGCUUUGCAAUCAUUUCGACACCUGAUACAUGGUACACUUGUGCACCUGUACCAGCAAUGUCAAUUUGAUGGUGAUGGAGGGAGUGAGCUUAUGUAAAACACAGAUAUUUAACCCCUUUAAAACCACCUGUAUAGUUGUUCAGCAAGAAAUUGCAGAACCCCUUGAUCUGUCAUCUAACAACAGGAGAGUCCAUAAUAUAUAUAUGUAUAUAUAUACAUACAUAUAUAUGUAUAUAAAUAUAUAUACACAUAUACAUAUAUAUAUAUAUAUAUAUAUAUAUAUACACACACACAUAUAUAUAUAUAUAUAUAUGACUGACAAUGUCUGUUAUAAAUUGUUGUGAUACCUUAUGACUACCUGUUCACAUUUUCACCUAUUACAGCCACAUCAGCUCAACCAAUUUAUUGCAUAUAGCCAACUUAUUUAUGCAGAUCCUGCAUCCGCAUCCUUGCACUUCAUGUCAGAACUUAGGCACUUGGUUCAGACUGAGCACUUAUCGUAUGUACCUAUUAUUUAUACAUCCUCUGAGUUCUUACUUAUCAUUUAUAUAUAU